CUCCAGACUCCUACGGGAGGCAGCAGUGAGGAAUAUUGGUCAAUGGACGGAAGCCUGAACCAGCCAAGUCGCGUGAGGGAUUAAGGCCCUAUGGGUCGUAAACCUCUUUUGUCAGGGAGCAAGGUCGUCCACGUGUGGGCGUAUGGAGAGUACCUGAAGAAAAAGCAUCGGCUAACUCCGUGCCAGCAGCCGCGGUAAUACGGAGGAUGCGAGCGUUAUCCGGAUUUAUUGGGUUUAAAGGGUGCGUAGGCGGACUGUUAAGUCAGGGGUAAAAGCCCGGGGCCCACCCCCGGCGAGCCGUUGAAACUGGCUGUCUUGAGAUGUCGAGAGGUAUGCGGAAUGCGCAGUGUAGCGGUGAAAUGCAUAGAUAUCACGCAGAACUCCGAUUGCGAAGGCAGCGUACCGGCGCCCAACUGACGCUGAAGCACGAAGGCGUGGGUAUCGAACAGGAUUAGAUACCCUAGUAAGU
rnacentral:rRNA from 1 species